GCGGAGCUAAAGGAAAAAGAAAACACAGCAAGGGCAUUAGUAGCCGCUGCCAGGUCUGGGGCUGUGCACGCCUCCCAUGCGUCUGUAGGGGUUGGGGUGGGGCUUUGUGCAUGCGCAGUGAGAAGCUGGAGGCCAGCCCGGCUGCAGAUCUGUUCCAGGCCAGCGCACUGGUGCUGCUGGACUGUGGGACAGGGUCUCCGGGCUGAGGUGUGGAGACUGUGCCCCCACAGGGCUGCUCUCUACUCCCCAAAAUGCAACCGGCAGCAGGAGGUCCCAGCUCACGGGGCAGGCUCUCGAGAAGGCUGAACGGAAGAUGCCCAAUAACCAUUUAUCUUCUGGGGUCUGGCCAGCCCAUGGGUCUCCCCCCUUGCAGGCAAAUCCAUCAGCCAAAACGUUUGCUCCUGGGUCAAGUUCUAGGCACAAAACUCUCCUGCCCCACUGCCCACUCCAACCCAACCAGGACACCUUCCCAACUCAUUUACUCCUUCUCACCCCUUGUCUGUGAUGCUUAAGGCUCGUCGGGGCUUGCUUUCUCCUCCCAGGCUACGUGAAAUGCCUCUGUCUCCGCCACAGUCAGAAUCAUGUUGCAGGUGACCCCUGGGAAAAGUCCCUUUGACAGAUACACUUUGCUUGCAAACAUCGUCACCCCGUUCUGGAAGGAGGGCUGUGGAGAGUGUGGGUUCCCCAGGGGAGGGAACAUCCCUCAUCACCAUCAUCUCCAGACGAUGAGGCAGGCUGCUGAUACCUACAAAGCCUGCGUAGAACGUGCCAGCGACUGGACCAUGAAGGAGGUCAUGGAGACCAUGGAGGAUCUGUAUGGAUAAAUCUUGUGGAUGGAAUAAACUCAUGAAGAUACUGGUGUCCUGUGUGAGUGCCUCCUUCCCCAGCUACUCCUGCCAUUGCUCAAUGGGCCCAUGAAGAAAGUGGACAUGGUGGCAUGGAUGGAGAUUGUGCAUGGGCCCAGCUAACGGACUUCCACUCAGCAGGGAUGGCCUGGCUACAGCCACUGCUGCUUCUCCAAUAUGGGAUGGUUCCUUGGGGGGUGAUCAGCGGCUAGCUGGUGGUGAGCUGAUUCCAUUGGGUCACAUAUAUCAUGAAAGAGGAAGUGCUUUGUUCUUAUUGGAAGAGACACUUAUUCUGCAAACAGGUGUGCCUUCCUUGAGCACAUACUUCUGCAGAAGCUACCAUCCGUGGACUUAGAGGAUGGCUUACCCACCACUGCGGCAUUCCAUGCAACAUUGCUUCUAUCAAGGAGCUUACUUUACAGCAAAGGAAGAGUUGCAGAGCAUCCAAGCUGAUGGAAUUUACUGGUCUUACGAUGUUCCCCAAUAUCCAGCUGGUUUUGUAGAGCAGCGGAAUGGCCUUUGAAAGACUCAGUUAUAGUGUCAACUACGUGGCAGUACCUUGCAGGACUAGGGCGGGGUUUCCAGAUGGCUGGGUGUGGUCUGAAUCAGCCCAGUAUGUGAGACUGCUUCUCCCAUGGCCAGGAUUCAUAGGUCUAGGAGUCAAGGGGUGGAAACGGGAGUGGCACCACUCGUGUACUCCUCGUGACACUAGCAAAGCGUUUGCUUCCUCUCCCUACAACUUUGCUGGCCUAGAGGUCUUCGUUCCAUACUGCCCCUGGGAGACUCAACAAUGAUUCUAUUGACCUGAAAGUUAAGACUGACAUUUUACUUAUUGCCAUGCCUCGGGAUUAACGUCAAUGGAAAACUUUAACAACGCAGCCCAGGCAGGACUUCUAACUACCAAGGGCACAGAAACUUCAGGAAUGAAGGCGUGGAUCCCUCCAAUAGCCAUGACCAACUGCGGUGCUCGCUGAGAGCAACGGGAGUGGGAAGUGGAGAAGGCAGUUAUAAAUACCAGCUGUGGCCAUGUGCUCAGUUACAGAAACAAGCCCUGUGACCCCCAUGGCUAGUCCCCCUGUCUUUGUGAAUAUAAUUAUGUGUGUGUGUGUGUGUGUAUACAUGCAUGGAUAUAUCUUUCUUCACAUCCUUCUUACCUUAUCAUAUAACAUAAGCUAGCUUGUGGGUUUUAUGUUCAGUAUUGAAUUCUUGCUAAUUUUUCAUCAUAAUGUUUAAGUUAGGAGGUUUCAAGGAGAAGAGCAAAUGUCACUCAAGGAUUUUACUGCCUCCCCUGUGUGAGGAUUAGAGCAUUUUUGGUUGUACUCAGGGUAAUUGUAUCAUCACAGGCAGAAUUAUGAGCUUGUUAUUGUUUAUUUGGAGAUUCAAUGUGGUUCAAGAUGUACAUAGCUGCCAAGUGGACAAGGACUGGACUUAUAAGACAGUUAAUGUUAUGUGUCAGCUUGACUGAGCCACGGGCUGCCCAGAUAUAUGAUUAAACAUCACUUCUGGGUGAGUCUGUGAAGGUGUGUCUGGAAGAGAUUAGCCUUCGAGUGGGUGCACCAAAUCAAGUAAAAGGACUUAGCCUUCGAGUGGGUGCACCAAAUCAAGUAAAAGGACUUAGCCUUCGAGUGGGUGCACCAAAUCAAGCAGCCCUAAAAAGAAAGGGAAUUCUGAUGCACGUUACAACGUGAAUGGACCUCGAAAACAGCCAGCCAACCACAAAAGGACAAAUACUGUAAGAUUCCACUUACAGGAGCCCCCUGGGGUGGUGGAGAAAGUGGAAUGGUGGAUGCCAGGGGCUGAGAGGAGAGGGCCAUGGGGAGCUAUUGUUUCAUGGGUACGUAGUUUCCAUUUAACAGGAAAAGGUUUAGAGACGGAUGGUGGUGAUGGUUGCACAGCAGUUAAGCCUAUUUAUGGCACAGAACUUGUAUACUGUCAAAUGCGUAAAAUGGCGAAUUGGAAUCCUGUGCUGUGUAUGCUUUAUUGCAAUGCAAAGGAAAUGAAAUUCUGACAUGUGAUAUGACAUGGAUGAACCCUGAAAACAUUAUGUUAACUGAAGUAACCCAGACACCAAUGCACAAGCGUUGUAUGAUCCCACAUAUGCGAGGUCCUUGGAAGAGGCAAACUGAUAGAGACAGGAAGCAGAGCAGUGGGUGGUAGGGGCUGUGCAGGCAAGGAAAUGGGGAGUGACUGUUAAACGGGGUUCUGUCUGAAUGUUAAUGAAAAAAUUUUGGAAAUGAAUGGUAGAUGAGGAGACGCGAGUUAGGUAAUGCCACCGAAUUGUACACUUGAACGUGUGAAUUGUAUGCUUAAAAAUGGUUGCAGUGGUACAUGCUACAUUGUAUGUAUUUUACCAUAAUAAGAUCAAUAUAUGGGUACGUUAAAAGCAUCACACAAUACAAAAUAAAAUAAUACAGGAAGGGAAGGCCUCCUUUGUCCUCCUCCCCUCCCUUCAAUAAAUAAAACGUUUCUAGUGCCUAUCUCCCUUGUGCUUGACCUGUGUCUUGAACUUCCCCGCCGUCAGCAGAGCCUGGGAUGUCUUCUCUCAGAAGGAAGGGGCAGUGUGCAAGCCAUCAACUCCACCAGCUCUCUGCCCCUAACUUCUGAAUUCUGUUAUGUUGCUGGGUUUUUCUGGGUUAACUUCCAGCUUUAAACCACAUACUUAGAGCUUGAUCUUCUCAAAUUUCUUAAU